AUUGAACGCUGGCGGCAUGCUUUACACAUGCAAGUCGAACGGUAACGGGCCUUCGGGUGCUGACGAGUGGCGAACGGGUGAGUAAUGCAUCGGAACGUACCCAGAGGUGGGGGAUAACGCAGCGAAAGCUGUGCUAAUACCGCAUGUGAUCUGAGGAUGAAAGCGGGGGACCGAGCAGCAAUGUUUGGCCUCGCGCCUUUGGAGCGGCCGAUGUCGGAUUAGCUAGUUGGUGGGGUAAAGGCCUACCAAGGGGACGAUCCGUAGCUGGUCUGAGAGGACGAGCAGCCACACUGGGACUGAGCGACGGCACAGAGUCCUAGGGGAGGCAGCAGUGGGGAAUUUUGGACAAUGGGCGCAAGCCUGAUCCAGCAAUGCCGCGUGCGGGAAGAAGGCCUUCGGGUUGUAAACCGCUUUUGGCAGGAACGAAACGGUGUCCGCUAAUACCGGGCGCUAAUGACGGUACCUGCAGAAUAAGCACCGGCUAACUACGUG
rnacentral:rRNA from 1 species